AAAUGCAGUCGACGGCAGCGCGGGGCAACCUGGCGGCGAGUGGCGAACGGGUGAGUAAUAUAUCGGAACGUACCCAGAAGUGGGGGAUAACGUAGCGAAAGUUACGCUAAUACCGCAUACGAUCUACGGAUGAAAGUGGGGGACCUUCGGGCCUCAUGCUUUUGGAGCGGCCGAUAUCUGAUUAGCUAGUUGGUAGGGUAAAGGCCUACCAAGGCGACGAUCAGUAGCUGGUCUGAGAGGACGACCAGCCACACUGGAACUGAGACACGGUCCAGACUCCUACGGGAGGCAGCAGUGGGGAAUUUUGGACAAUGGGCGCAAGCCUGAUCCAGCAAUGCCGCGUGAGUGAAGAAGGCCUUCGGGUUGUAAAGCUCUUUUGUCAGGGAAGAAACGGUCCGGGUUAAUAUUCUGGGCUAAUGACGGUACCUGAAGAAUAAGCACCGGCUAACUACGUGCCAGCAGCCGCGGUAAUACGUAGGGUGCAAGCGUUAAUCGGAAUUACUGGGCGUAAAGCGUGCGCAGGCGGUUUUGUAAGUCUGUCGUGAAAGCCCCGGGCUCAACCUGGGAAUUGCGAUGGAGACUGCAAGGCUUGAAUCUGGCAGAGGGGGGUAGAAUUCCACGUGUAGCAGUGAAAUGCGUAGAGAUGUGGAGGAACACCGAUGGCGAAGGCAGCCCCCUGGGUCAAGAUUGACGCUCAUGCAC
rnacentral:rRNA from 1 species